ACACAAACUGCCUGGGGCUCUUGUUCAAAGGCAAACUCUAAUUCAUCAGUUCUGGAGCCCGGCCUCAGUUCUGCAUUUCUAACAAGCUCUCAAGUGAUGCUGGU
rnacentral:pre_miRNA from 1 species